rnacentral:rRNA from 1 species
AGUGAACGCUGGCGGUAGGCCUAACACAUGCAAGUCGAACGGCAGCACAGUAAGAGCUCGCUCUUACGGGUGGCGAGUGGCGGACGGGUGAGGAAUACAUCGGAAUCUACUUUUUCGUGGGGGACAACGUAGGGCAACUUACGCUAAUACCGCAUACGACCUACGGCUGAAAGCAGGAGAUCUUCGGACCUUGCGCGAUUGAAUGAGCCGAUGUCGGAUUAGCUAGUUGGCGGGGUAAAGGCCCACCAAGGCGACGCUCCGUAGCUGGUCUGAGAGGAUGAUCAGCCACACUGGAACUGAGACACGGUCCAGACUCCUACGGGAGGCAGCAGUGGGGAAUAUUGGACAAUGGGCGCAAGCCUGAUCCAGCCAUACCGCGUGGGUGAAGAAGGCCUUCGGGUUGUAAAGCCCUUUUGUUGGGAAAGAAAAGCAGCAGGUUAAUACCCGGCUGUUCUGACGGUACCCAAAGAAUAAGCACCGGCUAACUUCGUG